AAAAGGAGGUGGAAUCUGACAUUGUCCAUGUUAGUGCUAAUCGAUGUAAGGACGCAAAGAAACAAAUGAUUUCACGAACCAUAUAUCGUAGGGAAAUCAACAAAGAAGAGGAUCACUUUAGCCGAUGGGAAACACAUUAUCAAUGUAUCCAUGGUCACUGAUGAGGCAAGUGGCCAAGGUGAGAUUUGGAAGGACGGUGCCACAAAUGAACUUAAUUGACAAGCUCACAGGUAAAAAAUGUGGUUUGACGUGUUUUCCAAUUUCUAUGGCUUUCCUUGUUAAAUUUCUGAAAAGAAAUUAAGAAAAUCAUACUGAAUGUGGACCUUUAUUUCAUCUGCAUUUAUAGCAAUGAUAAUAUUAAAUUUCUUUUGUCACGAGUUCUCACUCAUCAGAAAUUAGUAGUAUAGCCUCCAACCAACACACAAAGAGUUAUAUGUCCCUUCGGUUGGUUGUUUUAUUUUUCUCUGUUGUAGAAUAGGAAUAAUAUAUGUGCAUCUAUUUUUCGCUGCAUCGUAUUUUCACUACCAGUCACUCAGUAAGGUCUUAACUUCUCCAAUGAUUUGCAUUAUUGGAUCCAGAGAUGCAUCGACAUCUUUUGUUCUUGAAGGUCUGAAUCUAUUUACAUUUAUCUGAAGAACAAAAUGGUUGUUAACAAGUUUAGUACCCUCAAGAUCUUUCUCAAUGUUGCUUGUGCUUGAGCUGCUAUUCUGAAACAUAGCUGUUGAGGUGCUUAUCUUUUAGUUUGAAUUUUGUUAAUAAGGUCUGAAGGAGUAGGGCAUUUUGGAGGCCGA